GGAUCCAGACUUUGAUUCUGGCUCAGGAUGAACGCUGGCGGCGUGCUUAACACAUGCAAGUCGAACGAAGCACUCUAUUUGAUUUUCUUCGGAAAUGAAGAUUUUGUGACUGAGUGGCGGACGGGUGAGUAACGCGUGGGUAACCUGCCUCAUACAGGGGGAUAACAGUUGGAAACGACUGCUAAUACCGCAUAAGCGCACAGGACUGCAUGGUCCGGUGUGAAAAACUCCGGUGGUAUGGGAUGGACCCGCGUCUGAUUAGCCAGUUGGCAGGGUAACGGCCUACCAAAGCGACGAUCAGUAGCCGACCUGAGAGGGUGACCGGCCACAUUGGGACUGAGACACGGCCCAAACUCCUACGGGAGGCAGCAGUGGGGAAUAUCGCACAAUGGGGGAAACCCUGAUGCAGCGACGCCGCGUGAGCGAAGAAGUAUUUCGGUAUGUAAAGCUCUAUCAGCAGGGAAGAAGAAUGACGGUACCUGACUAAGAAGCACCGGCUAAAUACGUGCCAGCAGCCGCGGUAAUACGUAUGGUGCAAGCGUUAUCCGGAUUUACUGGGUGUAAAGGGAGCGCAGGCGGUGCGGCAAGUCUGAUGUGAAAGCCCGGGGCUCAACCCCGGUACUGCAUUGGAAACUGUCGUACUAGAGUGUCGGAGGGGUAAGUGGAAUUCCUAGUGUAGCGGUGAAAUGCGUAGAUAUUAGGAGGAACACCAGUGGCGAAGGCGGCUUA
rnacentral:rRNA from 1 species